rnacentral:misc_RNA from 1 species
UAAUAAGUGUUUUAUGGCACUUUUUAAAUCCAUAUCCACCUUGUGUGCAAUGUCAGUCGAUCUUCUUCAUGGAGAUCGACCAAACAUCAACCUUUAUUUUUUAACUCUUUGUCUGAAAAAUAUUAUGGAAUAAACAAUUCAAAAUA